CAGGGAAAGAGGAAGGAGUAGGCAGCCUGUUGAACAAACACAAACAGAUACGCUGUCUCAUUUCCGUACAAAAUGAACAUGAGGGCAGAGGCGAAGCACUUUGACCGCCCUGACUGAGGAAAUGAACCAACCUUUGCUGCUUAUCUGUCUGUCAUUAGCAGUCCUCCCUGCUGAUGUGCUGGCCCAGAGCCCGGUUCAGAUCGAGUUUCAGACUGACCCGGUGUUGGUUCAGACCGGCACCACCUCAGUCUUCACGGUACUGACCGUGUCUGAUGUCGUAUCCAUCUCAUGGAGGACCCAGGCGGGGACUCUCCUGGGUCUGUGGGCCGGAGGAAAUUCAGUGGUCAACCCGGUGCCGGAGUACCAGGGCAGGAUCACCAUCACUGCCACCCAGCUCCGCAUCAGUGACGCCCAGCUCCGAGAUGCAGGAAACUACACGGUGGAGGUGAACCCCUUAGCUACCACGGGCUUCAGCAGCAACACCAGAUCAAUACUGCUGAGGGUGUUUGUUGCAGUGGCUGGCGUGAGCUUGUCUGUUCCCUCCGUGGCUGCGGAGGGGAGAAAUGUGUCUCUGAACUGCACGUGGACGGCUGGAACAGAGACCACGGUCCAGUGGGGUAAAGGGGGUUCGGCCAUCAGUGGCGACUCUAGGAUCACCAUCUCGGCUGGUUCACUGGUCAUCAAUCCUGCCAGACGGAGUGAUGCCGGCGAAUACACCUGCACCGUCACAAAUCCUGUCAGCGGCCGCACAGCCACGCAGAGCCUCACUGUCUACUAUGGCCCUGACACCCCUGUGUUGACCAAGAACACCCCGCCAGACUGUGUGGGCCCAGGGGACGCUGAGGUAGGACAGACGGUGCGGCUCACCUGUUUGUCUGAGUCACUGCCACCCGCCCUCUUCUCAUGGCAACGCGACGGACAGCCCAUCGCGUCCAGCCAGCCGGACAGUGGGGCGCUCAUCCUCCAGACUUUCUCAACUAAUCAGAGCGGCCUGUACACCUGCGUGGCUCGAAACGGCCUCACAGGAGACACGUCAGAGCAGCGGACAGACUUGGCCAUUGUAGGAACAUGUCUCAGUGCAGGGGAAGUGGCAGGGAUUGUGAUUGGCUCUUUGAUUCUGCUGAUCUUAAUCAUUUUGGUCAUCGUGGCCAUUGUGCUUCUCAUAAGAAGGAAGCGGGUGGAGCAGAGACAAAGGGAUUCUAUGGGAUUGCAGAAGACCGAACCAAAUCCCAGGCUUAUACCACCAGAUCCACCGCCGCAUGCUGCAAGGGAUUUGGGCCAAGGUCCCCAUCCACCCCUCCUUGACUUGAACACAAACACGCGCCACCCUAGCCACUUAUAUGCACUCCCACACAGAGGCCAUGGGAACCCACACACUCCGCCAUUGAACAGCCUGCGUAACUCCAACACACACCAACACAAUGGCCGCAGCCACACAAACGGGCUCCUUCACAAUGCUAUUCAGAACACCAAUUCAUACCCACACAAUGGCGUAGACAACCCAGCCUUCACACACACUGUUUCUCAGAAUGCAAACGUGCCACCACCACACACGCAGCAGCAGAACCCUAACAUUCUCAUACAGGCUGGCACGGCCCAGGGCGGUGCCCAGCCCCCAACCGUCCACGUCAACCUUAACCCUUUGCCACAAAGUGCCCAGCAAAACAACAAUGCACAAAUGCCUGUUGUUCAUGUCAAUCUCAAUUCGUACCCGAACAAUGAUCAGCCAACUCAACAAGACAGCUCUGCACCGCCUCUUACCAGUAUAGCUAAUAACAAUGCCACUUUGCAAAACCUAGUGCAAACUGGGCAGUCAAACACAAAUCCCAGAAUUCAAAGGGGGUUAUUGCAUCCUGGUGGCCCCCAGCAGAAUAGUCACGUAGACUCAGGUCCUCAAAUAUCUUCUGGACUCAUCCCUACUGGAUACACACACUACAACAGGCACAAUACUGCCCAGCGAAACGCCAACACGCAGACAUACCAGCAAGACCCCGUGCCAAAUACCAGAUCUGGGCACUCCAUCUCAGUACCACGUGACGCCCCAGCAGCUGCCAGCUCCCGCCGUCGACAGAUGCCGUGGGAUCGCCUCAGAGGGACACCAGCGUAUCCCAAUGGCACAGCUCAAAGAGAACAGACAUCACCUAACUCCACUUCCGCGAGUACAGACUACACGACUCAGCCGUCCACAAGUCAGGCUCGGACACCAAACAGAGCUCAGCCUGGAGCACGGAGCCAAAAUACCUCACGGAGCAGAGCUACACCCAUACAGGAUUCACAGUCAGUAGCCAGACAGACUCUUUCUUCCACUCUUGCAUCCAGCCUCCAAGGCCAAAACACUCACAGCGUGACACAGCUUGAGGCUACACACCAAACACACAGAAACCCUCGUUCACAAAGGGAGAGCGCUCAGCAAGACAUCAGAGGUCUGCCUGGUAGCCAGGCUGCCUCCAGGCAAAUAGCCGUACACAGCAAUACCCCCCAGGUGCUGCCUCUCAUGAGCCACCAGGCCUCUGUAGGCCACGUCGCUGUGUCGCAAGGACCUAUGACACAGCAGGCACCAACUGCACCACAGGGUCCAGAUACAAGAGCUCUGGCUGAUCCUAAUCACCUCCCACAGGCACACAUGGCCCAGCAACACAAGGCAGCACAGAGACAGACAGCACCACAAGGCCUGGGCACACAGACACAGCCUGGCAUACAGAGUGCCAAUCAGCCUCGCCAAGGAGGCUCUGCUCCAGUCCUGCACCCUUCUGCCCAGCCUAAUCCCCAUAACCUAACCCAGGCUGCACUUCAAAUGCAUACACAGAGGGCCCAAAUCUUCCAAAAUCGCAACCAGCAGACCCAGGCUGCCCUGCUUCACCCCAGAACACAAGCGGGAGCUCCUAUUCCUGAGACCCGGCAUCCACCAACUCCUCCUCCUGCCAUCCCCCUCACCCACUUCCAGGCCCUCCCCAGGGAGCGGACUCAGCACAAAUCUCCAGCUCGGGGCCCUCAACCCCCCAGGCACCAUGUGAACAUCCCUACGGCUCAGCGGCACCUGCACGCCCAACAGCAUCCUAAAAUGCACCACCAUGCUGCCACCAUGCACGGCAACCCACACCACCACCCUGGAAAUGCCCACAUGCGUGCCGGCGCACAGAGACAUGGCCAUGCUCAUGGACAUGGGCAACAUGCCCACUUUACCCACCCGCGCCAGGCUCACAGAGGGAGACCGAGAUGAUGACAGAUGUCAGCGUCCUACAUUCUACAACCAACCCACACCCACUAACACAAACAUCCGACAGACAUGAUCCAGUAUAACACCGAGCAGGAAUGACUACACAAGAUGCCUCUCUUGACACUUCUCAAUUAAGGGGAUUCGCCUCAGCGGCGCUCGGAAGUAAUGCUCAGCUAACUAUGAAGGGGAUCCUACGAAUGGAUGGGCGCUUAUUAAUUAAAGGCUUUUAUGUGACUUAAAUGACUUGGAAAAUAAUCACACCCGUGCACGAAUGAGGUCAGCACAAAGAGCUGAGCUGCCACACUUUUCCCUGAAAAAGCGCAGUGUAACAAUUUGCUCAGGGACUUAAGAGUCUCCACUGGGUCAUGGAUAGCACAUUAAAAUUAUGUCUAUUAUGUCUAUGUUAUUGCUUUGUAAAGAUGAUCUAUUUAUUGGUUCAUUGUCUUUGCUAAACUCAGGUAUGUGGCGGUGGGCAUUGAUUAUUGUAUUGAUAUCAAUUUGGUAUAACAAAAAUUGAUAUGGAAAAUAUCAGAAUACAGCUCAACUUCCUAAACUGA